rnacentral:rRNA from 1 species
CGGGGGGGGCAAGCGUUGUUCGGAAUUACUGGGCGUAAAGGGCUCGUAGGUGGCCAACUAAGUCGGACGUGAAAUCCCUCGGCUUAACCGGGGAACUGCAUCCGAUACUGGAUGGCUUGAGUUUGGGAGAGGGACGCGGAAUUCCAGGUGUAGCGGUGAAAUGCGUAGAUAUCUGGAGGAACACCGGUGGCGAAGGCGGCGUCCUGGACCAACACUGACACUGAUGAGCGAAAGCCAGGGGAGCAAACGGGAUUAGAUACCCCGGUAGUCCUGGCCCUAAACGAUGAAUGCUUGGUGUGGCGGGUAUCGAUCCCUGCCGUGCCGAAGCUAACGCAUUAAGCAUUCCGCCUGGGGAGUACGGUCGCAAGGCUG